rnacentral:rRNA from 1 species
AGUGAACGCUGGCGGUAGGCCUAACACAUGCAAGUCGAACGGCAGCACAGUAAGAGCUUGCUCUUACGGGUGGCGAGUGGCGGACGGGUUAGGAAUACAUCGGAAUCUACUUUUUCGUGGGGGAUAACGUAGGGAAACUUACGCUAAUACCGCAUACGACCUACGGGUGAAAGCAGGGGAUCUUCGGACCUUGCGCGAUUGAAUGAGCCGAUGUCGGAUUAGCUAGUUGGCGGGGUAAAGGCCCACCAAGGCGACGAUCCGUAGCUGGUCUGAGAGGAUGAUCAGCGACACUGGAACUGAGACACGGUCCAGACGCCUACGGGAGGCAGCAGUGGGGAAUAUUGGACAAUGGGCGCAAGCCUGAUGCAGCCAUACCGCGUGGGUGAAGAAGGCCUUCGGGUUGUAAAGCCCUUUUGUUGGGAAAGAAAAGCAGCAGGUUAAUACCCCGCUGUUCUGACGGUACCCAAAGAAUAAGCACCGGCUAACUUCGUG